UCUGCAGAUGAAGAGGUCCCAAUGAAGAGCAGUGGUUCUCAGUCCUGGUCCUGGGGACUCAAAGGGGUGCACAUUGUUGUUUUUUGCCUUAGUGCUACACAGCUGUUUUAAAAUGAUCAACUCAUCAUCAAGCUUCAAGUUAUAUUUAUGUAUUCAUUUGUGAUGCUAUCCUUGAUAUGAUCCUGCUGUUGUCACAUGCUACACAUGUUAUCAUGAUUUGUUAUUAGGGAUAUUAUACUUUAGUAAUCCACAAUGACCUGGUAAUGUAAAAGUCUAAUAAUGACAUUAUCUUCCAUAUUCCUACAGAUACCUUGUAACUGGAGAUUCCUCUAAAACUAUUGCCUACCGUUACUGUGUAGGGCACUGCAAGGUUGGGUGACCAGGGCCAUCUGGGACUGCCUCCUGGGGGGAAUUCAGGCGUGUGAAGGCUACCUGUGUCCUCCAUAACUUCAUGGACCAGGAGGGAACCUGCAGCUCGCCGCCAUGUGCCAGAGGAGAGGUCUGCUGCUCUGCAGGAUGUUUCAAGGAUGGGGGCCAACAACGCAGCGCGGGAGGUGAGGGUGCUGUCCACACCUACACACUCGUGUAUCAAUCUGGUUGAUGGAUUGUCAUGUGCAGUAAGCAGGCUCAGGUGUAUAACUGUGGCUCCUUCCACCUUCAAAGAAUAGGCAAGAGGACCAACCAUGGCGAAUAGUAAGACACUUCAUUAUUUCUAUUUAUAGAACUUACGCUAUAUUGUUUGUCCUCGUGUGUCUGCAUGUUUUUCAGUAUAAAGUACUCUGCAGCCACUUAGUGUGGACACCAGGUGAGGCACAGAGAUUCCUGUUGAACACUGUCUCUUUAACUACCUUAAUUUCUCCAUAAGUCUCUCUCCUUCACUUCAUCCGUCUUCUCCCUAAAUCCUCUAGAUUAUAUCAGCUGUGUCGGGUGAACCCCUCCCGCAUCUGAACUGGCUACAUAUAGGGCACAGCAUGAUCAGAGGUGUGUUUUGAUGUGAAAGAGGAUGCCCCAGUCCUGUCAUCGCCACCUCAAUCGCUCUUGGGCCAACUGGGGGUCCAAGGCUGGUUAAGAUACAUUUAUUUAAUUGUGAUGAAUUGACAGAAUAUUAAGUUUAGUAGCACUGUAAUUCAUUAAUCAUAUGCUGUCUUCCCUGCUCCUCCAUUCUUACCGCUUUCCCUUUCUGUCUUUUACACUCGUUCUCACACCAAUCUACCCACCUCCUCUUUCUUCCUCUGUUUUUAUAAUGCACACCAGAUGUGCACUGAAGUACAGAUUGAACUUGUAUUUAAAGUAUAAUAUUUAUAAUGCAUGUAUUAUAUAUUUAUAACACUUGGAUAAUUAAGUUAUAUCAAUAAAGCGGUUCACAUUCUCUA